UCCACCCUUUCCACACCUCAUUUAAGGGUUGGCGGUGGAGGUGAGGGUAUCUUGUUGGAGAUCUCUGCUUAUCUGAGGUCUUCUGAGGGUGGGACAACAAACUGGAAGGGAAGGCCCUUGGUGGGCACUGAAGAGGAAUGGAAUGAAAAAUGACCAGGAUUCACUCAUAGGAAAGUGAUAUUAUGAUCAUUUCCAUGGCAACAGACUGAUGUCCAAAGUAUGGGAUCAUGACUUCAGUGUGGGAUCAAGGAAGGGGAGUUAAAGUCCUUAUUCGAAUACGCACUUUGUCAAUAAGAAAAGAAACUCAUGAAAAAUCCAUUAAUUUUAUUACGUGUUUCCUUCUCUAAUUGAACGCAAGUACAAAUAAAAAGUACUUCUUUUUUUUUAAAGAGGCUGUUUAUUUUUGCUUGUUAAUACUGAUCAAUAAAACCUUGGCUUUAAAGAAAACGUGAGCAAAAGAAUUCAAGCUAUCAUAUACAUAUAUAAAGCCUUAUGUAAAAUCCUGAUUAUAUACAUAUUUUUUUUAAACCAAGGAGUGUUUUCUUGUAACAGCAGACCUAUUAUUAUGAUUAUGAAAGUGGACCUUUCCCUGAAAAGAUUACCUUUGUGCAUUUAUUAUGUCCAUAAGGAAGCUCCUGAUCACCACAGCUGUAGUUGUUUUACAUUAGACUCUCUUUGUCAUGAUGUCUCUCUCUUAAGAUAUUUGUUCUGCCUCCAGUUAGCCACACCAGGGAAAAAGAAACCCUGGCCCAGUGGCCUGUUCUGCAAAACCUGAUAUGUGUUUGGCAGAGGUGACUACCUUCUGACCUACUAGGGAAUAUCCCAAACCCACCAGAUAUUUU